rnacentral:rRNA from 1 species
UUCCGGUUGAUCCUGCCGGACCCGACUGCUAUCAGAGUGGGACUAAGCCAUGCGAGUCAACAUAGCAAUAUGUGGCAUACGGCUCAGUAACACGUAGUCAACAUGCCCAGGGGACGUGGAUAACCUCGGGAAACUGAGGAUAAACCGCGAUAAGUCACUGCUUCUGGAAUGGGCAAUGACUUAAAUCUAUAUGGCCCCUGGAUUGGACUGCGGCCGAUCAGGCUGUUGGUGAGGUAAUGGCCCACCAAACCUGUAACCGGUACGGGCUCUGAGAGGAGGAGCCCGGAGAUGGGCACUGAGACAAGGGCCCAGGCCCUAUGGGGCGCAGCAGGCGCGAAACCUCUGCAAUAGGCGAAAGCCUGACAGGGUUACUCUGAGUGAUUUCCGUUAAGGAGAUCUUUUGGCACCUCUAAAAAUGGUGCAGAAUAAGGGGUGGGCAAGUCUGGUGUCAGCCGCCGCGGUAAUACCAGCACCCCGAGUGGUCGGGACGUUUAUUGGGCCUAAAGCAUCCGUAGCCGGUUCUGCAAGUCUUCCGUUAAAUCCACCUGCUUAACAGAUGGGCUGCGGAAGGUACUAUAGAGCUAGGAGGCGGGAGAGGCAAGCGGUACUCGAUGGGUAGGGGUAAAAUCCGUUGAUCCAUUGAAGACCACCAGUGGCGAAGGCGGCUUGCCAGAACGCGCUCGACGGUGAGGGAUGAAAGCUGGGGGGGCAAACCGGAUUAGAUACCCGGGUAGUCCCAG